ncrna:Nodularia spumigena CCY9414 HNH endonuclease-associated RNA and ORF (HEARO) RNA
GUCAGUAACCCAGCCCUAAAGGGACUGGGCUUGUAAGAGUAAUCAAGCAAGCCGUACUGACCAGACCACCCUGAGCGCAGUCGUAAAGCCUACGGCAUAGCUCCCGGCUAGGGUAGCCGUUAUUUGAGUCACGACACCCUGUGGAUGCGUAGCUAGUCCCCUGCUCUGUCGCUUGUGAUUAAACAGUUCUAAGGUAACAGUUACAGUGUUGCAAGCCUAACAAGCUCUGAUAACAGGUCAAAGCUAACAUUAC